rnacentral:snRNA from 1 species
GGAUGUGAGGGCAAUCUGGCUGUGACAUCUGUCACCCCAUUGAUCAGCAGGGUUGAUUUGGCUGAUGUGGCUGGCUAGGCGGGUGUCCAUUUCCUCCCUCCCUCACCACACCAUGUACGUCCCUCCCAAAGCUGUGUGCUCGGUUAGAGGAUGGCAUUCUCUGAAUUGAGACGAACUAGUCUUCGGUCAAGGGUCUACAAAUAGCUGAGCUCCCCUGCUAGAACCUCCAAACAAGCUCUCAAGAAUCUGGGUUCUGGGAGUCGGGCGGUAGUGCAGUGGGCUAAGCGCAUGUGGGGCAAAGCUCCAGGACUGGCGUAAGGAUCCCAGUUCGAGCCCCCGGCUCCCCACCUG